rnacentral:lncRNA from 1 species
GUCGGGGCCGGCCGUUCACAGUCGUCUGGUCGGGGCCGGCCGUUCACAGUCGUCUGGUCGGGGCCGGCCGUUCACAGUCGUCUGGUCGGGGCUAGCUGUUCACUAUUAUACAGUUAACAGGAAAAGCAAUCAAAACUUUAAAAUAUUGUUGUUUUCAAGGGCAGGAUAACACAAGGCUACUGGUCUGGCUACACUGACCGGCUACUACUGGACAGCGCUACAACCCUACAGACUUGUCACCAAGUCCUAAGUGAAAGCUUGACGCACUGCACUUUGAGAAAUGCAGUGUUUAGGACUAGAUGGACACCAUGUUCAGAUACAUGUAACUCACAUAAGCCCUUACUUUAUAAAAAUCAAUGAAUAGGAGAAUUUCUUGACUAACUCAAAUUCUGUAAUUGUAUGCAAUAACAGUUGGCAUAGCUUGGAACACAAACGCAUCCAUAACUGCCAACUCAAAUCCAUUUAUUUUCAACCAAACAUCUGUUUUGUUUGCCCGUGAGUUCAGAACAUCUCACAGGAAGUCCUGAUGACUCACUUUACUGGAACACCUCAGAUGUCAUUUCCCCCUCGACAGGUUUGAUUUAAUCUAUUUCUGUCCAUGUUGCUAGGAGGUUAUGAAGACACACAGGAAACUAAUUACACACAGGGAACUGUGGCAUCAUCACACAGCCAGGGAACUGUGGCAUCAUCACACAGCCAGGGAACUAUAGACAUUUUGUAUUUUAUUAGGAUCCCCAUUAGCUGUUGCAAAAGCAGCAGCUACUCUUCCUGGGGUCCACACAAAACAGAAUGACAUAAUACAGAUCAUUAGACAAGAACAGCUCAUGCAGGGAGCUGUGGCAUCACCACACGGCCAGGGAGCUGUGGCAUCACCACACGGCCAGGGAGCUGUGGCAUCACCACACGGCCAGGGAGCUGUGGCAUUCCACCACCACCUGCAGGGGGGAGCUGUGGCAUCACCACACGGACAGGGGAGCUAUAGACGGCCAGGGAGCUGUGGCCUCACCACACGGCCAGGGAGCUAUAGACGGCC